rnacentral:rRNA from 1 species
UGGCGGACGGGUGAGUAAUGUCUAGGGAAACUGCCUGAUGGGAGGGGAUAACUACUGGAAACGGUAGCUAAUACCGCAUACGUCGCAAGACCAAAGAGGGGGACCUUCGGGCCUCUUGCCAUCGGAUGUGCCCAGAUGGGAUUAGCUAGUAGGUGGGGUAACGGCUCACCUAGGCGACGAUCCCUAGCUGGUCUGAGAGGAUGACCAGCCACACUGGAACUGAGACACGGUCCAG